UACGGGGGGGGGCAAGCGUUGUUCGGAAUUACUGGGCGUAAAGGGCUCGUAGGCGGCCAACUAAGUCGGAUGUGAAAUCCCCAGGCUCAACUUGGGAACUGCAUCCGAUACUGGAUGGCUUGAAUCCGGGAGAGGGAUGCAGAAUUCCAAGGUGUAGCGGUGAAAUGCGUAGAUACUCUGGAGGAAUACGGUGGCGAAGGCGGCAUCCUGGACCCGGCAUUGACGCUGAUGAGCGAAAAGCUAGGGGAGCAAACGGG
rnacentral:rRNA from 1 species